UGGGGAAUAUUGGACAAUGGGCGAAAGCCUGAUCCAGCCAUGCCGCGUGUGUGAAGAAGGUCUUCGGCUUGUAAAGCACUUUAAGUUGGGAGGAAGGGCAGUAAGUUAAUACCUUGCUGCUUUGACGUUACCGACAGAAUAAGCACCGGCUAACUCUGUGCCAGCAGCCGCGGUAAUACAGAGGGUGCAAGAGUUAAUCGGAAUUACUGGGCGUAAAGCGCGCGUAGGUGGUUUGUUAAGUUGGAUGUGAAAGCCCCGGGCUCAACCUGGGAACUGCAUCCAAAACUGGCAAGCUAGAGUACGGUAGAGGGUGGUGGAAUUUCCUGUGUAGCGGUGAAAUGCGUAGAUAUAGGAAGGAACACCAGUGGCGAAGGCGACCACCUGGACUGAUACUGACACUGAGGUGCGAAAGCGUGGGGAGCAAACA
rnacentral:rRNA from 1 species